CACGUAGGGCGCGAGCGUUGUCCGGAAUCAUUGGGCGUAAAGAGCGUGUAGGCGGCUUGGUAAGUCCGCUGUGAAAGUCCAGGGCUCAACCCUGGAAUGCCGGUGGAAACUGUCAAGCUUGAGUCCGGAAGAGGCGAGUGGAAUUCCUGGUGUAGCGGUGAAAUGCGCAGAUAUCAGGAGGAACACCGGUGGCGAAGGCGGGUCUCUGGGCCGAUACUGACGCUGAGGAGCGAAAGCGUGGGGAGCGAACAGG
rnacentral:rRNA from 1 species